rnacentral:rRNA from 1 species
CCUACGGGAGGCAGCAGUGGGGAAUUUUGGACAAUGGGCGCAAGCCUGAUCCAGCAAUGCCGCGUGCAGGAUGAAGGCCUUCGGGUUGUAAACUGCUUUUGUACGGAACGAAACGGUGAGCUCUAAUACAGUUUGCUAAUGACGGUACCGUAAGAAUAAGCACCGGCUAACUACGUGCCAGCAGCCGCGGUAAUACGUAGGGUGCGAGCGUUAAUCGGAAUUACUGGGCGUAAAGCGUGCGCAGGCGGUGAUGUAAGACAGAUGUGAAAUGCCCGGGCUCAACCUGGGACCUGCAUUUGUGACUGCAUCGCUAGAGUACGGUAGAGGGGGAUGGAAUUCCGCGUGUAGCAGUGAAAUGCGUAGAUAUGCGGAGGAACACCGAUGGCGAAGGCAAUCCCCUGGACCUGUACUGACGCUCAUGCACGAAAGCGGNGGAGACAACAGAGUAGUAUACCUACGUAGUACACGACCUAACCGAACUAGUCUACUAGUUGGUUGGUUCGUUCUACU